rnacentral:rRNA from 1 species
UACGUAGGGCGCAAGCGUUGUCCGGAAUUAUUGGGCGUAAAGAGCUCGUAGGCGGCUUGUCACGUCGGGUGUGAAAGCCCGGGGCUUAACCCCGGGUCUGCAUUCGAUACGGGCAGGCUAGAGUGUGGUAGGGGAGAUCGGAAUUCCUGGUGUAGCGGUGAAGUGCGCAGAUAUCAGGAGGAACACCGGUGGCGAAGGCGGAUCUCUGGGCCAUUACUGACGCUGAGGAGCGAAAGCGUGGGGAGCGAACAGG